UUGGUUGAUAGGACGAAUGACGAUCUGAGUGUCGUGUUGAUUUCAUUUUGUGGUGGAUGGUUUGAAGUAAUGGUUGAUUGAUAUUGUUUUUAGGAUGGAUAUGAUUGCAAUAUCUGCGGUGUUAGUGCUGGCGUUUGUUGUCCUCAUAAACUUCUCAGUACAUAAACUAGAAGAAGGCCAUGUUGGCGUCUACUACAGAGGAGGAGCACUUUUGUCCCACACUAGCCCUCCGGGUUCCACAUGAUGGUGCCUUUCAUUACUACUUACAGAUCUGUUCAGGUAACACUACAAACAGAUGAGGUGAAAAAUGUUCCUUGUGGUACCAGUGGAGGAGUUAUGAUAUACUUUGAUAGAAUUGAGGUCGUUAAUAUUCUUAACAGAGACAGUG